rnacentral:lncRNA from 1 species
UAGGAUGUGCAUGUGUUUUCUGUUUCCCGUUCUAUUUGUUUUGGUUUGCGUAAGACCUCCUCUCCUGAUCUUGCAGAAUACAUGCUUGGCAGAAUACGUUUGGCAAUAAAGAAUUUUUGUUAUGAGAUUAGCACAACUGCUUUAAUAUGUACUUGAUUCCAAAAGUUCUUAGUGAGAAAGCAGUAUAAACAGUGGAAGUAAUUGCAAUGAGUCAGAUUAACCAGGACAAGCUGGUUAGGGAUUACAAGAGAAUAACAGUUAGAAGAGUUAAGAAAUUCGAAACAUUAAAAUUUUUAAAAGAGUGUAGACUAAACAAAGUAUACCCGUCCUCUAUACAUAAGAUUCAGUUACCAAUAAACUCGAAGAAGAUUCUUCAGAAUGUUAAGAAAACCUGUUUGACGGCAGCAAUAAAAGAUGCAAAGAAGGCAUUUUAUAA